rnacentral:rRNA from 1 species
GAUGAACGCUGGCGGCGUGCCUAAUACAUGCAAGUCGAGCGAACGGACGAGAAGCUUGCUUCUCUGAUGUUAUCGGCGGACGGGUGAGUAACACGUGGAUAACCUACCUAUAAGACUGGGAUAACUUCGGGAAACCGUAGCUAAGACCGGAUAAUAUUUUGAACCGCAUGGUUCAAAAUUGAAAGACGGUCUUGCUGUCACUUAUAGAUGGAUCCGCGCUGCAUUAGCUAGUUGGUAAGGUAACGGCUUACCAAGGCAACGAUGCAUAGCCGACCUGAGAGGGUGAUCGGCCACACUGGAACUGAGACACGGUCCAGACUCCUACGGGAGGCAGCAGUAGGGAAUCUUCCGCAAGGGGCGAAAGCCUGACGGAGCAACGCCGCGUGAGUGAUGAAGGUCUUCGGAUCGUAAAACUCUGUUAUUAGGGAAGAACAUAUGUGUAAGUAACUGUGAACAUCUUGACGGUACCUAAUCAGAAAGCCACGGCUAACUACGUG